GCGCCGUCUGAAGAAUCGCUAUCGCAGCUCACAUACAGAGAGCUCAUCGCUCAUCUAUUUCAGCUGUGGGGAAAGUCCCCGGAGAUACAGAGCCCCAAUCCUCGUCCAGAUUUGUGCGGAAAGCGCCCAGCUCUAAGCACGUUGGGACUGAACGAAGGACGGCGAGAAUGACCUUGCUCAGCGUCUUCGCAUACUCGCGCCGCACACUGUAGCUCCAUCUCAUCCACUCUGUUGCACAUCCCAUAGCGCUCAGCUCAUCAAAGGCACAGACAUGCGAAGAUACGAGCGUGUCUGUUGUUCGGCUUGAAGUGUCAGUAGGAUGGGCACUUCGUUGCUCAUAGACACAGUUAUGCGAUUGUAGACUCGCGAAACAUUAGUUUCACGAUGUCAUCAACUCAAUGGGGCUUACUCUCGGUCGGCG
rnacentral:RNase_MRP_RNA from 2 species